AGAUAUUUUGCUCUUUUGUCCAUGGAGACAGUGUCAGGCAUUCAGACACAUCGCACACAAGCACGUUGAAGGCAUUAAUUGUUCAUGACUUAGGGAGAAAUCUUGGGUCCCCGCUGAGUUGGAGAUGGAUGCGCCCGGUGCCGCUGCUCUUCGAUUUCUCCUGGCUUUGCAGAGUCAUCCUGGCACAGACCAAACCCUUCCCAGAUCACCUGCAAUGCACAAAAUGGGCAGAUGGAGGCAACAUCAAAACAGCACUCUGCAAACAGGCCGGAGGACGAAUGAAAACACAAACAAGUGAA